GACGAACGCUGGCGGCGUGCUUAACACAUGCCAGUCGAACGGAAAGGCCCUGCUUUUGUGGGGUGCUCGAGUGGCGAACGGGUGAGUAACACGUGAGUAACCUGCCCUUGACUUUGGGAUAACUUCAGGAAACUGGGGCUAAUACCGGAUAGGAGCUCCUGCUGCAUGGUGGGGGUUGGAAAGUUUCGGCGGUUGGGGAUGGACUCGCGGCUUAUCAGCUUGUUGGUGGGGUAGUGGCUUACCAAGGCUUUGACGGGUAGCCGGCCUGAGAGGGUGACCGGCCACAUUGGGACUGAGAUACGGCCCAGACUCCUACGGGAGGCAGCAGUGGGGGAUAUUGCACAAUGGGCGGAAGCCUGAUGCAGCAACGCCGCGUGCGGGAUGACGGCCUUCGGGUUGUAAACCGCUUUCGCCUGUGACGAAGCGUGAGUGACGGUAAUGGGUAAAGAAGCACCGGCUAACUACGUG
rnacentral:rRNA from 1 species